CGCUCGCACACGGGGCGGGGCUGCAGGAGUCUCGAACACCAGACCUUCAUGGACGAGUCUCUCUCCAGUCACACCUUUACCUUUCCUCUCAGUGCUGGACUUCUUCCAUCAUCUGUCAAAGACGGAGAACCAGCAGAGACCUCCAAGUUCAGAUCCUCAUGAGGAACUGGCAGAUGUUUGAUGUGUGAAGGGGCGGGGCUGUAUGGAUCCGAUCCUUCCAGGACUUUCUGAACCUAAAUCAGGAACUGUCGGGCCGGGAUGUGAGUGAUGGAGACGCCUGUUUGUGCUUUCUAAAACACCAAGACCCCCACCAUGAAGACCGGGAGCCCCCGGGUUUGUGGGCCGGUCUCUGGCGACGGUCAGUGAUCCCUCGUCUGGGAACGAUCAGGCAGAUGAAGGUCUCAGAGCUGGAUGGACCCGUCUCGUCUGGAGGACAGCUGGAGCGUCUGGUACCGACCGUCUGGUACCGAGUGUCUGGUACCGAGUGUCUGGUACCGAGUGUCUGGUACCGAAAGUCUGGUACCAAACGUCUGGUACCGAGGGUCUGGUACCAAACGUCUGGUACCGAACGUCUGGUACCAAACGUCUGGUACCGAAAGUCUGGUACCAAACGUCUGGUACCGACCGUCUGGUACCAAACGUCUGGUACCGAGCGUCCUCAGAGCUCACUGCCUGUCUGUCCACCAACCACAGAUCUUUAAAUCUGACUCUGAACAGAUUCAGUCAGAAAUCCAGGAUGUGUUCAAGAUCCAGAUCCACAGAGCCGGUCCUCGAGGUCUGGAUUCUGUGAUCCACAGAGCCGGUCCUCGAGGUCUGGAUUCUGUGAUCCACAGAGCCGGUCCUCGAGGUCUGGAUUCUGUGGUCCACAGAGCCGGUCCUCGAGGUCUGGAUUCUGUGGUCCACAGAGCCGGUCCUGGUCCAGGUCUGGAUUCUGUUCAGUUCUGCAUGAAGAAGGAAGUGAACUGCAGUUUCCUCAUGACAAUCCUGUGGUGCGUUCAAGGACACACCUGCUGCAGGCUCUUGAUGCUGCAUGAACCUUGAAGAGUCAAAUGUGGUGAAUCUUCUUCUCUUACAGCUCUAUUCCCAUAAAUACGAGUCCUAGAAUUCCAGCUUUACUCCUCCUUCAUGAUCGACAGAGUCCCUGAUUGGUCAGAGUUCAUCUGGUUUAACCAGGUGUUAUCUGAAGGGUCCAGGUGGGUUGACGCGUUCAAUGACUUAGAAGAACGACACGAGAACAGACUAGAUGUGAAUCGAGACGUGAAGGUUUCUGACCUGGAAGGAGCGCAGACAGUCAUGUCGCUCCAGACUUUAUUCCAGCAUUCUCUAUACUGUCAUCAGUGAUGUCACAGCCGCUCACAGAAGACCUGCGGAGGGACUCGUCAUGACAGCUUCCAAGUCACACCCCCCACCACCGUAUCGGGGGUAGAGGUGGGGGUGCAGACGGAAAAUCCUCAGAAUGUUUCAGCUCCAUGACAGCAGGUCUCUCUGAAGACUCGGACCGGGAAAAUCGGGUCUCCUGAUGCGGCUGCACCGACAUGGGCGGGGGGGCACUCGUCAAGGGCUGAGCGGCGCGGCGCGGCGCCUGCAGGGCGGCACGGCGCCUGCAGGGCGGCACGGCGCCUGCAGGGCGGCGCUCUGCAGCUGCUGCUCGUUCUGAGAGGUGAAACUGCUCCCUCUGGCUGGGAGGUUCUGCCGUCUGAACCAGAACCUCCCCAGCACCGGAGGCCCCUCCCCAGCACCGGAGGCCCCUCCCCAGCACCGGAGGCCCCUCCCCAGCACCGGAGGCCCCUCCCCAGCACCGGAGGCCCCUCCCCAGCACCGGAGGCCUCCCAGCACCAAAGGCCCCUCCCAGCACCGG
rnacentral:lncRNA from 1 species